GAUUAACGCUAGCGGCAGGCAUAAUACAUGCAAGUUGAACGGCAGCACAGGUAGCAAUACUGGGUGGCGAGUGGCGCACGGGUGCGUAACACGUAUGCAACCUACCCUAUACAGGCGAAUAACCUUUAGAAAUGAGGGCUAAUACGCCGUAGUAUUACAGAUGGGCAUCUAUUUGUAAUUAAAGAUUUAUCGGUAUAGGAUGGGCAUGCGUCCCAUUAGUUAGUUGGUAAGGUAACGGCUUACCAAGACGAUGAUGGGUAGGGGAUCUGAGAGGACUUACCCCCACACUGGUACUGAGACACGGACCAGACUCCUACGGGAGGCAGCAGUAAGGAGUAUUGGGCAAUGGCCGCGAGGCUGACCCAGCCAUGCCGCGUGCAGGAAGACGGCCUUAUGGGUUGUAAACUGCUUUUAUACAGGAAUAAUAGAGUGUACGCGUACAUUUAUGCAAGUAUCGUAUGAAUAAGCAUCGGCUAACUCCGUG
rnacentral:rRNA from 1 species